rnacentral:rRNA from 1 species
UGGUGGAGCGAUUUGUCUGGUUAAUCCCGAUAACGAACGAGACUCUGGCCUAUUAAAUAGUUCGCCGAUUCCGAUCUGUCGGCGUUAACUUCUUAGAGGGACAAGUGGCUUUUAGCCACGCGAGAUUGAGCAAUAACA